GAUGAACGCUGGCGGCGUGCCUAAUACAUGCAAGUCGAGCGAACGGACGAGAAGCUUGCUUCUCUGAUGUUAGCGGCGGACGGGUGAGUAACACGUGGAUAACCUACCUAUAAGACUGGGAUAACUUCGGGAAACCGGAGCUAAUACCGGAUAAUAUUUUGAACCGCAUGGUUCAAAAGUGAAAGACGGUCUUGCUGUCACUUAUAGCUGGAUCCGCGCUGCAUUAGCUAGUUGGUAAGGUAACGGCUUACCAAGGCAACGGUGCAUAGCCGACCUGAGAGGGUGAUCGGCCACACUGGAACUGAGACACGGUCCAGACUCCUACGGGAGGCAGCAGUAGGGAAUCUUCCGCGAUGGGCGAAAGCCUGACGGAGCAACGCCGCGUGAGUGAUGAAGGUCUUCGGAUCGUAAAACUCUGUUAGUAGGGAAGAACAUAUGUGUAAGCAACUGUGCACAUCUUGACGGUACCUAAUCAGAAAGCCACGGCUAACUACGUG
rnacentral:rRNA from 1 species